rnacentral:rRNA from 1 species
UACGAAGGGGGCUAGCGUUGUUCGGAAUUACUGGGCGUAAAGCGCACGUAGGCGGAUCGAUCAGUCAGGGGUGAAAUCCCAGGGCUCAACCCUGGAACUGCCUUUGAUACUGUCGAUCUGGAGUAUGGAAGAGGUGAGUGGAAUUCCGAGUGUAGAGGUGAAAUUCGUAGAUAUUCGGAGGAACACCAAUGGCGAAGGCAGCUCGCUGGGACGGUACUGACGCUGAGGCGCGAAAGCGUGGGGAGCAAACAGG